GUGAUAAAGUAAAAGCAUCAGUGACAAACUUCCUGAGGUUGGUUAACUCUAGUGGAUGAUCAGUGUCAGAGGGAUAUCUUUUAUCAGUGUUUGGCCCUGAAUAUAACUCAGCCUUACAGGAUCUCAUGGGAAAAUUCCUCUUCAGUCUGCAAAAGCUGUUGCCUGUCCCAAGCAUUGAGGAAUUUUGUCUUCCUCCACUGACGAUAGCAUCCUUUCCAGCCUGUCCUAUCACCUCGCCAAAUGUGGACUAUGACGAAGGAGACACGCUUUUCAAAUCUGGAUCCACCUUUGUCUCACAAGAUUGGCAGGGAGAUAGCUUGCUUGGCAGAGAAUCAAAAAAGGAUAAAGAAGAAAAGGAGAUAAAUACAGAAUUGAUGAGGAAUGUAGCAAGAAAUGGACCACGGCAUGCUGAUGAUCUGACUGAAGACCAGGGAGCCUCUGUUGAAGUAAUACUGCCUGCUUUUUAUGAAAGUGAGACCAAUGAUGGUGAUGACAUGGACAAAAAAUGGUUUCACCCUAUGAAAACUGGCAGUAGGAAUUCCUCACAAACCUUCAAGUGUCUUGUUUAUGGCCAAAAUUUUGUCUCCCUUUACAAACUAAAGAAGCACAGGACUACCCAUCGUGGUUGCUUUACAAGCAGAAAGAGUGGCUUUUUUGAGGAGAUAAAUGUGCAUCCUACUUGUAUUGAGAAAAAUUCUUCUCAAAGUGAGGCUGAGCUUCUGUCUUUGGCAAACGCACUUUAUCAGUCAAGUUUGAAUAGUCUUACAAACUUUGAGCAGUCUAAUGAUGACUGUGGUCUUAUUUGUGUCUUUAUUUGUUUGUGGCAAGGCUUUCACUUACCAAAAGAACUUUGACAAACACCAGAGGAUUUGUGCUGUCAGUAGUAAACGACCAGCAGAGACACAAUGUCCCGCAACCUUAGUUCAUCACUCCAAACCAAACCCUAUUGAUACGACCAAAGUGUCCCACCCCAAUGAAACUGAAACUAGGCCCUCAAAUGUUGUACCCCUGGAAUCAAUAUCUAAGAGAAAUAGUCGUGUCAAACAGUGCUCAGUGUGUUGCAAAAUAUUUACAUCUUCUACUGACUGGAUGAGGCACAUGAGAUGCCACCUUGAACAGAGUCCUUUCCUUUGUUCUUACUGUGGGAAAGACUUUGACAACUAUGAGGACUACGAGACACACCAGGAAGGUAAAUGCAGAGUUUCAAACCAGCACCAGCAGGACAGUACCUUGAGCAGCUCAAAGAAACAAAAUUAGGAGAAUACAGUUGUUUCAAGUGACACAGAUCAGGUCCCAGCAAUCAUAGCUGCUCCUGCCAAGUCACAGGCCAUGCAACCAUAUAAAUCAACUCUGAUGUAUCAGGACUGUGGCCAGGUUUUUACUUACUACAAGAGGUUUGAGAAGCACCAGAGCAAGCAGUUCCAAAAGAGAUCCUCAAAGGAAAAGGCAAACCACCACAAACUAUUUCGUUAUCAAUGCAGGUAAUUUCCCAUCUGCUGACACAAGCAAUGGAAGCGAUGCUGAGACAAGUUGUGAAAAUGCAAAAACUCCAAUCUCCACCAACCAUGCUGAUGGCUCCCAGGCAAAAUCUUGCACCAUCAAGUGCACCAUGUGUGAGAAGAGCUUUUCAAAAAUCGUCCUUAUGAAGAAACACUAUUCCAAGUCUCAUAAAGUUAGAGGCUCAUACCCCUGUCCUUUGUGCAAGAGAACCUUUGUGAGAUUGUGUGAAUUGGUUCAACAUCAGCAAAACAAAAAAUUGUACCAGUGCGCUGCCUGCAAGAAAUGUUACUCAAAAUCAGGACUAAUUGAUCAUGAAAAAGUACAUACUGCGAGUUUAACACCACGCAUUUGUGAAACGUGUGGAAAAAGCUUCAGAUUUCUCGCUCAUCUGGUUCUGCACCAGAGGAAACACAGAGAGCGACAGCCUAGUGUUUGUUCCUACUGUGGGAAACAGUUCAGUACAAAAGAGUGCCUGAGAGCGCUCAUGGUGAGGCACACAGGUGGUUACCCAUGCCCAAUGUGUGGGAAAAAACAUACCUGAAAUGGCAUCUGUAUAAACACACAGGUCAAGAGCCAUACCUCUGUGACACCUGUGGAAAAGGCUGGCCGAGCUCAGCUCAGCUCAAGCUUCACGUGAUUCAACAUACAGAGGAAAGACCGUUCAAGUGUGAAGACUGUGGCGUGUCCUACAAGAGGGAAUCCUCUUUG